UACAGAGGGUGCGAGCGUUAAUCGGAAUUACUGGGCGUAAAGAGCGCGUAGGCGGUUUUAUAAGUCAGAUGUGAAAGACCCGGGCUUAACCUGGGAAUUGCAUUUGAUACUGUAAGACUAGAGUAUGGUAGAGGAAAGUGGAAUUUCCGGUGUAGCGGUGAAAUGCGUAGAUACCGGAAGGAACACCAGUGGCGAAGGCGACUUUCUGGACCAAUACUGACGCUGAGGCGCGAAAGCGUGGGGAGUAAACAGG
rnacentral:rRNA from 1 species